GGUCAAGAGCGCCAGCGCAAGCCCGAGCUCGCUGGCCGGCAACCCUCCUCCGCGGUGGGGUGCCCCUCGGGUAGAGACCAGGCCGCGCCGGGAUGUCCGGCCGGCAAGCGCGGACC
rnacentral:ncRNA from 2 species